CUUGGUCAUUUAGAGGAAGUAAAAGUCGUAACAAGGUUUCCGUAGGUGAACCUGCGGAAGGAUCAUUAUUGAUUUGAAAUCAAGGUUGUUGCUGGUUCUCUUGGGAACAUGUGCACACCUUGACCUUCUAUUCCACACCCCUGUGCACUACUGUAGACCGAAAGUGGGUGUAACAAUCUACUGGAGGACUAUGUAUUUUUUAUAAACGAAUGUCAAUGAAUGUCUUCUAUCUUUAUCGUCCUAAGAAAGCGAUUAAAGUUUAAAUACAACUUUCAACAACGGAUCUCUUGGCUCUCGCAUCGAUGAAGAACGCAGCGAAAUGCGAUAAGUAAUGUGAAUUGCAGAUUUUCAGUGAAUCAUCGAAUCUUUGAACGCACCUUGCGCCUCGUGGUAUUCCGCGAGGCAUGCCUGUUUGAGUGUCAUUAAAUUAUCAACCUCAAAAGCUUUAUAACUUUUGAUAGCUUGGACUUGAGGUGUGCUGGACUUUUAUUAGUUCGGCUCCCUUUUAAAUGCAUUAGCAGAGCAACUCGCUUCCGGCUAACAUUGACGUGAUAAUUAUCUUACGUUGUUGUCUACCAGUUCCAGAGUCUGCUUAUAAUGGUCUUAGGACAACACAUAAUGACAAUUUGACCUCAAAUCAGGUAGGACUACCCGCUGAACUUAAGCAUAUCAAUAAGCGGAGGAA
rnacentral:rRNA from 1 species